rnacentral:rRNA from 1 species
AGAGUUUGAUCAUGGCUCAGAUUGAACGCUGGCGGAAUGCUUUACACAUGCAAGUCGAACGGCAGCACGGGGCAACCUGGUGGCGAGUGGCGAACGGGUGAGUAAUACAUCGGAACGUGCCCAAUCGUGGGGAUAACGUAGCGAAAGUUACGCUAAUACCGCAUACGAUCUACGGAUGAAAGCGGGGGAUCGCAAGACCUCGCGCGAGUGGAGCGGCCGAUGUCAGAUUAGGUAGUUGGUGGGGUAAAGGCUCACCAAGCCAACGAUCUGUAGCUGGUCUGAGAGGACGACCAGCCACACUGGAACUGAGACACGGUCCAGACUCCUACGGGAGGCAGCAGUGGGGAAUUUUGGACAAUGGGCGCAAGCCUGAUCCAGCCAUUCCGCGUGCAGGAUGAAGGCCUUCGGGUUGUAAACUGCUUUUGUACGGAACGAAACGGCGAGCUCUAAUACAGUUUGCUAAUGACGGUACCGUAAGAAUAAGCACCGGCUAACUACGUG